rnacentral:rRNA from 1 species
UACGUAGGGUGCGAGCGUUGUCCGGAAUUAUUGGGCGUAAAGAGCUUGUAGGCGGUUUGUCGCGUCUGCUGUGAAAAUCCGGGGCUCAACCCCGGACUUGCAGUGGGUACGGGCAGACUAGAGUGUGGUAGGGGGGACUGGAAUUCCUGGUGUAGCGGUGAAAUGCGCAGAUAUCAGGAGGAACACCGGUGGCGAAGGCGGGACUCUGGGCCGAUACUGACGCUGAGGAGCGAAAGCGUGGGGAGCAAACAGG